rnacentral:rRNA from 1 species
AGGACGAACGCUGGCGGCGUGCUUAACACAUGCAAGUCACGGGGGCCCGCAAGGGCAACCGGCGAACGGGUGCGUAACACGUGAACAACCUGCCCUCGUGUGGGGGAUAGCCAUGCUAACGCGUGGGUAAUACCGCAUACGUUCCCUUGGAGGAGUCUCUGGGGGAGGAAAGCUCCGGCGCACGGGGAGGGGUUCGCGGCCUAUCAGCUAGUUGGCGGGGUAAUGGCCCACCAAGGCGACGACGGGUAGCUGGUCUGAGAGGAUGAUCAGCCACACUGGGACUGAGACACGGCCCAGACUCCUACGGGAGGCAGCAGUGGGGAAUCUUGCACAAUGGGCGAAAGCCUGAUGCAGCAACGCCGCGUGCGGAAGAAGGCCUUAGGUGUAACCGCUUUCAGCAGGAAGAAAUGACGGUACCUGUAGAAGAAGGUGCGGCCAACUACGUGCCAGCAGCCGC